rnacentral:rRNA from 1 species
CUUGUCUCAAAGAUUAAGCCAUGCAUGUCUAAGUAUAAGCAAUUACAAAGCGAAACUGCGAAUGGCUCAUUAUAUAAGUUAUCGUUUAUUUGAUAGUACCUUACUACAUGGAUAACCGUGGUAAUUCUAGAGCUAAUACAUGCUGAAAAUCCCGACUUCGGAAGGGAUGUAUUUAUUAGAUACAAAACCAAUGCCCUUCGGGGCUCUCUUGGUGAUUCAUGAUAACUUCUCGAAUCGCACGGCCCCGCGCCGGCGAUGGUUCAUUCAAAUUUCUUCCCUAUCAACUUUCGAUGCUACGGUAUUGUCCUAGCAUGGUUGCAACGGGUGACGGAGGGUUAGGGCUCGACCCCGGAGAAGGAGCCUGAGAAACGGCUACUACAUCCAAGGAAGGCAGCAGGCGCGCAAAUUACCCAAUCCCGACUCGGGGAGGUAGUGACGAUAAAUACCGAUACAGGGCUCUUUUGGGUCCUGUAAUUGGAAUGAGUACAAUUCAAAUCCCUUAACGAGGAACAAUUGGAGGGCAAGUCUGGUGCCAGCAGCCGCGGUAAUUCCAGCUCCAAUAGCGUAUAUUAAAGUUGUUGUGGUUAAAAAGCUCGUAGUAGAAGCUCGGCCUCCGGUCGGCCGGUCCGCCUCACCGCGUGCACUGGUUCGGCCGGGGCUUCACCUUCUGCGGAACCGCAUCUCCUUCACUGGGGGUGUCGGGGAAACAGGACGUUUACUUUGAAAAAAUUAGAGUGCUCCAGGCAGGCCUAUGCUCGAAUACAUUAGCAUGGAAUAAUGGAAUAGGACGUGUGGUCUUAUUUCGUUGGUUUCUAGGACCGCCGUAAUGAUUAAUAGGGACAGUCGGGGGCAUCAGUAUUCAAUCGUCAGAGGUGAAAUUCUUGGAUCGAUUGAAGACUAACUACUGCGAAAGCAUUUGCCAAGGAUGUUUUCAUUUAUCAGGAACGAAAGUUAGGGGAUCGAAGACGAUCAGAUACCGUCGUAGUCUUAACCAUAAACUAUGCCGACUAGGGAUCGGACGGUGUUAUUUCUUGACCCGUUCGGCACCUUACGAGAAAUCAAAGUGCUUGGGCUCCAGGGGGAG